rnacentral:tRNA from 1 species
GCCUCCGUAGUUUAUGCAAAACAUUAGUCUUGUAAACUAAAGUAGGGUCUCCCGGAGGCUC